CCUACGGGAGGCAGCAGUGGGGAAUAUUGCACAAUGGGGGAAACCCUGAUGCAGCGACGCCGCGUGAGUGAAGAAGUAAUUCGUUAUGUAAAGCUCUAUCAGCAGGGAAGAAAAUGACGGUACCUGAGUAAGAAUCACCGGCUAACGCCGGGCCAGCAGCCGCGGUAAUACGUCGGGGGCAAGCGUUAUCCGGAUUUACUGGGUGUAAGGGGAGCGGAGACGGCCGUGCAAGUCUGGAGUGAAAGGCGGGGGCUCAACCCCCGGACUGCUCUGGAAACUGUUCGGCUGGAGUGCAGGAGAGGUAAGUGGAAUUCCUAGUGUAGCGGUGAAAUGCGUAGAUAUUAGGAGGAACACCAGUGGCGAAGGCGGCUUACUGGACUGUAACUGACGUUGAGGCUCGAAAGCGUGGGGAGCAAACAGGAUUAGAUACCCCUGUAGUC
rnacentral:rRNA from 1 species